rnacentral:rRNA from 1 species
CAGUAGCCGCGGUAAUACGAAGGGGGCUAGCGUUGUUCGGAAUCACUGGGCGUAAAGGGUGCGUAGGCGGAUUCUUAAGUCAGGGGUGAAAUCCCGAGGCUCAACCUCGGAACUGCCUUUGAUACUGGGGAUCUUGAGUCCGGAAGAGGUGAGUGGAACUGCGAGUGUAGAGGUGAAAUUCGUAGAUAUUCGCAGGAACACCGGUGGCGAAGGCGGCUCACUGGUCCGGAACUGACGCUGAGGCACGACAGCGUGGGGAGCAAACAGGAUUAGAUACCCGCGUAGUCCCUGUCUCUUAUAC